UACGUAGGGUGCGAGCGUUAAUCGGAAUUACUGGGCGUAAAGCGUACGCAGGCGGUUUUGUAAGCCAGAUGUGAAAUCCCCGGGCUUAACCUGGGAAUGGCAUUUGGGACUGCAAGGCUGGAGUUUGGCAGAGGAGACUGGAAUUCCUGGUGUAGCAGUGAAAUGCGUAGAUAUCAGGAGGAAUACCGAUGGCGAAGGCAGGUCUCUGGGCUAUAACUGACGCUCAUGCACGAAAGCGUGGGGAGCAAACAGG
rnacentral:rRNA from 1 species